GGAGAUGUAGCUCAGUGGUAGAGCAAUUGCCUAGCACGCAGGAGAUCUGGGUUCAGUUCCUAGUCCC
rnacentral:tRNA from 1 species